rnacentral:lncRNA from 1 species
CUCCGGGGCUCUCCCUGCCCCUUUCUGCCCCUGCAGGCUGACCCCAUGGGCUGCAUUCCCUGGGCUCCCUGUAGGCUGGAUCCCCAGUGGGGCUUAGUCAAUCGGAGGCAUUAACGUGAGGCUGGAAGGCAGAAGAGGAGAGAGGCUGGGUGUUUGUCCUCAGCUCCCCGCCUGCCCAGCACGCGGCCGCGUCCACACUCACCCUGCCGAAUUGUGCACUUGGUCUCAUCUGCCCCCCGUAGCUUACACUCUGAGUUUGAAUCCACAUUUGGCCUACGAGCCCCUCAUGUGGUUUUCCCAGUGCAGUUGGCAUCUGGAUGCCAUUCAGACGCCCCCAAUUGGGCCCAAGCCUCGCCACUCCCUGUGGCCCACCUCAAGGUCGCUGUACAAUCUUUGGGCUCUGCUUGACCCCGCAGAACCCCGAGUCUGGGGCCUCUCGAUAAAGACAAGUGUAGAGGAGGACUUGCCACUGGCUAUUCAGGCAUAAAAACUGCUUGGAACGGGGAUAAAGCAAGUCUUACUUUUCCAACAAACUUUCGCUGUUGAGUUUUAAUAAUAAACUUGGCGUGUUAUCAUGUAUAUUUUUGCCUGUCUGAAACAACCCUGCCUCCUGAAGCAAGUCUCUAGCUGCCGUGAAGACAGGAAGUACCCCAAGUCGGGGCUCUCACGCGGUGCAGCCAGUCCCUGGAAGCAGCACCCACUCUUGUGAGGUUAACCGUAGCCACCAAGCCCGGCCAGGCACGCUCUGGCCUUUAGCUGCAACAGUCGCAUCACAAAUGGCUAACUCAUGAACCCACACCGAGACGCACACGGGUCACUCUGUGAGAUGGUGGAGACCGCAGGUGGGCUCUUUCCAGGGAGACGCGAUUGCGUCGGAAGAUGGCAAAACACAUCCCGUUCGGCCCGUUCUGGAAAUUCUCCAGGGACAUCCGCCAGUUCCGGCAGUCCUCAGGGGGCCUGUGAGAGCCAGGAGGCCGUUAGCUUCCACAGGACCGGCCCAAGCAAGAGGCCUCUGCGCCGUUCUCUUACCCUGGCCAAAGUCGUGGAGGUGGAGGGCUCAGAGGCUGAGACUGGGGGAUAACAAGAUGCCCAGUGGCGGCCCUUCCACCGCAUUUUAAGCUGAUGGCAGUGAUCCUGGAUCUCAACCAUGGGGCCUCAACAAGGUUCUUCAAAUCAAGGACACUGAAGCGUGCGCGCGUGCGUUCCCACCAGGCUGCCAGAACGCCGUCAUGGACACACAUGUGGGUCAGCGGCACGUGGCUUUCAGAGUGAAUUCUUGGUAAGUCAGCUCUCUGCCUACUAGCGAUUAAAUUAUUCUGCUUGUCUGAAAGAUGCUUCCCAACAUAUUAACCAACAGUCUCUCUUGAUGUGACGUUUGGGUUCAUUUUUAUAUAAAUCCUGGAAACUGCUUUAAAAAAUUACCUCAAAGACCUUUUCUCCACCUGCCUCCAAGAACUCAUGUCUUACUGUGUUUUUCCCACAUCAGAUAAAAUUAAAGUAACUUGGAGGCUCAGAAAAUCAAGUUUCAGAACCACCAAAAAACCCCCCAAAAGAGCCACC